rnacentral:rRNA from 1 species
UACGUAGGUGGCAAGCGUUAUCCGGAUUUAUUGGGCGUAAAGGGAACGUAGGCGGGUUGUUAAGUCAGUUGUGAAAGUUUGCGGCUCAACCGUAAAAUUGCAGUUGAUACUGGCAUCCUUGAGUACAGUAGAGGUAGGCGGAAUUCGUGGUGUAGCGGUGAAAUGCUUAGAUAUCACGAAGAACUCCGAUUGCGAAGGCAGCCUGCUGGACUGUAACUGACGCUGAUGCUCGAAAGUGUGGGUAUCAAACAGG